rnacentral:rRNA from 1 species
UACAGAGGUCCCGAGCGUUGUUCGGAUUCACUGGGCGUAAAGGGUGCGUAGGUGGUGAGGUAAGUCGGAUGUGAAAUCUCCAAGCUCAACUUGGAAAUGGCAUUGGAAACUACCUUGCUCGAGGGUUUGAGGGGGGACUGGGAAUACUUGGUGUAGCAGUGAAAUGCGUAGAUAUCAAGUGGAACACCAGUGGCGAAGGCGAGUCCCUGGAAACUCCUGAACACUGAGGCCACGAAAAGCUAGGGGAGCAAACAGGAGUUAGAAAA